rnacentral:rRNA from 1 species
GGAAGACAUGAUGAGCACACGAUGGAUGCCUUGGCGCUACGUGCCGAUGAAGGACGGGGCACCGCUCCGAUAAGC